AUACGGAGGAUCCGAGCGUUAUCCGGAUUUAUUGGGUUUAAAGGGUGCGCAGGCGGCCAUUUAAGUCAGCGGUUAAAUCGUGGGGCUCAACCCCAUUCUGCCGUUGAUACUGGGUGGCUUGAUUGCGGUCGAGGUUGGCGGAAUUCGUUGUGUAGUGGUGAAAUGCAUAGAUAUGACGAAGAACACCGAUUGCGUAGGCAGCUGACCAGACCGCAAAUGACGCUCAUGCACGAAAGUGCGGGGAUCGAACAGGAUUAGAUACCCUGGUAGUCCGCACAGUAAACGAUGAAUACUUGUUUUCGGCGAUAUAAUGUCGGAGGCAAAGCGAAAGCGAUAAGUAUUCCACCUGGGGAGUACGCCGGCAACGGUGAAACUCAAAGGAAUUGACGGGG
rnacentral:rRNA from 1 species